rnacentral:tRNA from 1 species
GGAGAUGUGCCAGAGCGGUUGAUCGGGCUUGACUCGAAAUCAAGUGUACUCGCAAGGGUACCGGGGGUUCGAAUCCCUCCAUCUCCGCAA